AGGAGGAACAGCCCCAGUGGCGGGGCAGCUCUGGAGCCCUGGAUUCAGCUCCCGCAGGAACUCCGGGGCUCUCCGUCUGCAGGGCCUGGAGGCUCCGGGGCGGG
rnacentral:pre_miRNA from 1 species